rnacentral:rRNA from 1 species
UACGUAGGGGGCAAGCGUUGUCCGGAUUUAUUGGGCGUAAAGAGCGUGUAGGCGGCCAAACAGGUCCACUGUGAAAACUCGGAGGCUCAACCUCGAGAGGUCGGUGGAAACCGUCUGGCUAGAGUCCGGAAGAGGAGAGUGGAAUUCCCGGUGUAGCGGUGAAAUGCGCAGGAUAUCGGGAAAGAACACCCGUGGCUAAGGCGGCUCUCUAGUACGGUACUGACGCUGAGACGCGAAAGCGUGGGGA